rnacentral:rRNA from 1 species
UACGAAGGGGGCUAGCGUUGUUCGGAAUUACUGGGCGUAAAGCGCGUGCAGGCGGUCUUCCAAGUCAGUGGUGAAAGCCCGGAGCUCAACUCCGGAACUGCCAUUGAAACUGUUAGACUUGAGGACGAGAGAGGUGAGUGGAAUUCCCAGUGUAGAGGUGAAAUUCGUAGAUAUUGGGAAGAACACCGGUGGCGAAGGCGGCUCACUGGUCCGGUACUGACGCUGAGGUGCGAAAGCGUGGGGAGCAAACAGG